rnacentral:rRNA from 1 species
UUAUCACGUCCUACGGGAGGCAGGCUAGUGGGGAAUAGUUGCACAAUGGGGGAAACCCUGAUGCAGCCAUGCCGCGUGUGUGAAGAAGGCCUUCGGGUUGUAAAGGCAACGUUUUCAGUAGGGAGGAAAGGUAGUGUAGUUUAACACCUGCAUUAUUUGACGUUACCUACAGAAGAAGCACCGACUAACUCCGUGCCAGCAGCCGCGGGUAAUACGGAGGGUGCGAGCGUUAAUCGGGAAUUAACUGGGCGUAAAGCGCAUUGCAGGCGGCCUGUUAAGUACACGGAUGUGAAAGCCCCGGGGCUUAACCUCGGAAUUGCAUUUGAAAACUGGCAGGCUAGAGUCUUGGUAGAGGGGGUAGAAUUUCAGGUGUAGCGGUGAAAUGCGUAGAGAUCUGAAGGAAUACCAGUGGCGAAGGCGGCCCCCCUGGACAAAGACUGACGCUCAGAUGCGAAAGCGUGGGGAGCAAACAGGAUUAGAUACCCUGGUAG